rnacentral:tRNA from 1 species
AGAUAGUUAAAUGUCUAGAUCAUCUGCCUUACAAGCAGAGGGUCACUGGUUCGAACCCAGUAACUCCCA